rnacentral:rRNA from 1 species
AAACUCGAAUUAAUACCGCAUACGACCUACGGGUGAAAGGGGGCGCAAGCUCUUGCUAUUAGAUGAGCCUAAAUCAGAUUAGCUAGUUGGUGGGGUAAAGGCCCACCAAGGCGACGAUCUGUAACUGGUCUGAGAGGAUGAUCAGUCACACCGGAACUGAGACACGGUCCGGACUCCUACGGGAGGCAGCAGUGGGGAAUAUUGGACAAUGGGGGCAACCCUGAUCCAGCCAUGCCGCGUGUGUGAAGAAGGCCUUUUGGUUGUAAAGCACUUUAAGCAGGGAGGAGAGGCUAAUGGUUAAUACCCAUUAGAUUAGACGUUACCUGCAGAAUAAGCACCGGCUAACUCUGUGCCAGCAGCCGCGGUAAUACAGAGGGUGCGAGCGUUAAUCGGAAUUACUGGGCGUAAAGCGAGUGUAGGUGGCUCAUUAAGUCACAUGUGAAAUCCCCGGGCUUAACCUGGGAACUGCAUGUGAUACUGGUGGUGCUAGAAUAUGUGAGA